rnacentral:piRNA from 1 species
UGAACUCUUUGCCUUUGAGUCGUGGAGACA